UACGUAGGGUGCAGGCGUUAAUCGGAAUUACUGGGCGUAAAGCGUGCGCAGGCGGUCGAUCAAGUCGAGUGUGAAAGCCCCCGGCUCAACUGGGGAGGGUCAUUCGAUACUGAUCGACUCGAAGGCAGGAGAGGGUAGUGGAAUUCCCGGUGUAGUGGUGAAAUGCGUAGAUAUCGGGAGGAACACCAGUGGCGAAGGCGACUACCUGGCCUGUUCUUGACGCUGAGGCGCGAAAGCUAGGGGAGCAAACGGG
rnacentral:rRNA from 1 species